rnacentral:rRNA from 1 species
CCCUCGGGACUGAGGAUAAUACCCUAUAGGUUACCGAUGCUGGAAUGCUCGGUAACUCAAAGUUCCGGCGCCUUAGGAUGGAUCUGCGGCCGAUUAGGUAGUUGUUGGGGUAACGGCCCAACAAGCCCGUAAUCGGUACGGGUUGUGGGAGCAAGAGCCCGGAGUUGGAUUCUGAGACACGAAUCCAGGCCCUACGGGGCGCAGCAGGCGCGAAAACUUUACAAUGCGGGCAACCGUGAUAAGGGAACCUCGAGUGCCUGUACAUGCAGGCUGUCUGGGUGUCUAAAACACACCCAAAGAAAGGGCCGGGCAAGACCGGUGCCAGCCGCCGCGGUAAUACCGGCGGCUCGAGUGGUGGCCACUUUUAUUGGGCUUAAAGCGUUCGUAGCUGGGUUGUUAAGUCUCUUGGGAAAUCCGGCGGCUUAACCGUCGGGCGUCUAAGAGAUACUGGCAAUCUUGGAACCGGGAGAGGUGAGGGGUACUUCGGGGGUAGGAGUGAAGUCCUGUAAUCCUCGAGGGACCACCUGUGGCGAAGGCGCCUCACCAGAACGGCUUCGACAGUGAGGGACGAAAGCUGGGGGAGCAAACCGGAUUAGAUACCCGGGUAGUCCCAGCCGUAAACGAUGUGCGUUAGGUGUAUCGACGACCACGAGUCGUCGAGGUGCCGAAGGGAAACCGUGAAACGUACCGCCUGGGAAGUACGGUCGCAAGGCUGAAACUUAAAGGAAUUGGCGGGGGAGCACCACAACAGGUGGAGCCUGCGGUUUAAUUGGACUCAACGCCGGGAAGCUCACCGGAUAGGACAGCGGAAUGAUUGCCGGGCUGAAGACUCUGCAUGACUAGCUGAGAGGAGGUGCACGGCCGUCGUCAGUUCGUACUGUGAAGCAUCCUGUUAAGUCAGGCAACGAGCGAGACCCACGCCAACAGUUGCCAGCACGAUCCCCGGAUCGGUGGGGACACUGUUGGGACCGCCUCUGCUAAAGAGGAGGAAGGAAUGGGCAACGGUAGGUCAGCAUGCCCCGAAUUAUCCGGGCUACACGCGGGCUACAAUGGGCAGGACAAUGGGUAUCGACACCGAAAGGUGAAGGCAAUCUCCUAAACCUGUCCGUAGUUCGGAUUGUGGGCUGUAACUCGCCCACAUGAAGCUGGAAUCUGUAGUAAUCGCGUCAAAA